CAUAACGACUCUCGGCAACGGAUAUCUCGGCUCACGCAUCGAUGAAGAACGUAGCAAAAUGCGAUACUUGGUGUGAAUUGCAGAAUCCCGUGAACCAUCGAGUUUUUGAACGCAAGUUGCGCCCAAAGCCAUCCGGUUGAGGGCACGCCUGCUGGGCGUCA
rnacentral:rRNA from 1 species